rnacentral:rRNA from 1 species
UGGGAAGUAUUGCAUCAAUGGCGGCAAGCCAUGACUGCAGCCAUGCCCGCGCUGUAUGAAGAAGGCCAAUUCGGGGCUUUGGUUAAAGAUACUUUUCAGCGAGGAGGAAGGCAUUAAGGUUAAUAACCUUAGUGAUUGACGUUACUCGCAGAAGAAGCACCGGCUAACUCCGUGCCAGCAGCCGCGGUAAUACGGAGGGUGCAAGCGUUAAUCGGAAUUACUGGGCGUAAAGCGCACGCAGGCGGUCUGUCAAGUCGGAUGUGAAAUCCCCGGGCUCAACCUGGGAACUGCAUCCGAAACUGGCAGGCUAGAGUCUUGUAGAGGG